GUAGUCAUGGCUGAGUGGUUAAGGUGAUGAACUAGAAAUCCCUUGGGGUCUCCCCAUGCAGGUUCAAAUCUUGCUGACUAUG
rnacentral:tRNA from 2 species